rnacentral:tRNA from 1 species
CCGACCUUAGCUCAGUUGGUAGAGCGUGAGACUGUAAGGGAAGAAUUGAUAACUUGUUAUCUCAAUGUCACCUGUUCGAUCCAGGUAGGUCGGA